AGCUAAGAAUCCAAAAUAUAGGAGAAAGAUUUUUAAUCUUUUAUUUGGUCUACAGCCCUUAACUA
rnacentral:tRNA from 1 species